GCUGGGUUUGGGGUGUUACAAUGGAUCCUCUCCAACUCAGAUGGCAAAGGUAACCAAUAUGCUACCACUCCUAUUCUUUCAGUAAAUCUCAUAUGGCCCAAUAAAUUGCGGGCUUAACUUGCCUUUAUGGCAAAAUCUUAAAAUUUUCUUCUAUGGAGAUACUUUCAAAAAUACCUUAUCACUGACCUGAAAUUCAAUCUCUUUUCUUUUCAAAUCUGCGUACGACUUUUGUCUAUCUAAAGUAACUUUCAAACAAUCACG
rnacentral:lncRNA from 1 species